rnacentral:misc_RNA from 1 species
AAUUCUCAACUUCAAUGACUUUAUUGUUUAUUGAAGCUUGGACUUUGGAGGUUUUUGCAGGCAGUUAAUGUCAGCUCCUCUUAAAUGCAUUAGCGGAACUAUAAAAAGGACCAGCUCUGGUUUGAUAAUGAAUAUCUAUGCCGUUGCUGUGACCAUUAUAAUGUUCAGCUUUCUAAUUGUCUUAGGACUGUCUCUUUAUGAGGCAAUACAAAUUUUAA